GCGCACGGAAUGGACGAGAUAAGCUGGUAAUGAAUUAAUAAGAGUAACGGGUUACGUUUUACAUAAACUAUCUUUCGGCGUGGAGAACUCUAUAGAGAGAACGUGAGAAAACAGAAGAACCUGUAAAGGCCGAAAGUGACGGGAAAGCCAACAAAAAAUCUUGUGUGUGAGAGAAUCAAUGAAAUGAAAAAAACCUAUAAAAUCCAAAAUAGGCCAUUCUCCAUUUUCUGAUCUCCCAAAAUUCGCUUCUCUAUUCGUUCUGCCCCACCAAACAUUUUAGAUUCUAUUAAAAUUUUCUUUUAGAUUUUAGAUUUUAGAUUUUUGUUUUUGUUUUUACUUUUAGUUCUUCAAAACAUCCUUUCCUUAUAUUUUUUCAAAAAAAAACAUCCUUUCCUUAUCGUCGUUUGAGCUUCCUAGUCUUGGAAAAGAAAAAAACCUAAAAGAAGAACGAGGCGACAAAAAAGAAAAGAAAAGAAGAAACAAAUCUUUGGGAGCUCCUUCCGCCUUUUCUUUUGUGCAUGGUGUGCCUCAUCGGUUCUAUAGCUAAGAGUGAUUCAAUUCGUUUUCCUCUCCAGCUACAAGUGAAGAAGAUCUUAUGAGACAUUUGAUUUCUCAUUGAAGAAAACUUGCCGGUCUUGUACUAUCAUAUUAUUAGGCAGGGCAGAUGGAUGAAAACAAUGCAGCAAAGUUAACCGGAAUCCGGCAGAUCGUUAGACUAAAGGAGAUUUUGCAGAAAUGGCAAACCGUAACGAUAGGUUCCAAGUCAGAUGUUCCUCCACUGGAAGAUGGAAAGCAAGCGGCAGCACUAAUUUCACCAGCGAUCAACAAGAGGCUAUUAGCUGUCAAGAAUUGUGACUCGGAUGAUGAGAACAGUCAAAGCCCUAAGACUCCGGCUGAUGUUCCGAGAGGGUAUUUAGCGGUUUACAUUGGACCGGAGCUAAGGAGGUUUAUCAUACCAACAAGCUAUCUCAGCCACUCUUUGUUCAAGGUGUUGCUCCAGAAAGCAGAGGAAGAGUUUGGGUUUGAUCAGAGCGGUGCGCUCACCAUCCCUUGCGAGGUCGAGACUUUCAAGUACUUACUUAAAUGCAUGGAGAACAAUCUUAAAGAUCAUCACCCUGACGACAGCUCCUGUAAGUAGACAUAUAACACAUGCAUGUCAUGCUGAAGUAGGGCUGAGUUAAACCAUAAAGAAUCAGGGUUUGCACUUACUAGCUGGGGAUGUAGUAGAAGCGAAGGAGGAGUAAAUACAAAUCAAGUGAUAAAACUCUUUAAAACUUUUUUAAAAUUACGAUUAUUGUUAUCCUUUGUUAUUGUUUAUCACAUGUUGAUGGAAAUUGUUAGGGUGAUUACUUUGGGGGUGUAAUUGUAAAAUCAGGUUUUUUUAUUGUCCUGGUUUUCAUUUUCUUCUCCAUUUUUUUUUUCAAGGGGGAUUUAAGUUAUGUUAGAUAUGAAGGGAUUCGGUGGUCAGAGUGAUGCGAGAUAAAACAAAAAUAUAACCUCUAUUGUACGAAAAAUGUGUACAUUUAUGUUCUCUGUUUUUCUUUGCUAAGACGUUUA